GACAGAGGGUGCAAACGUUGUUCGGAUUUACUGGGCGUAAAGCGCACGUAGGCGGUCUGUUAAGUCAGGUGUGAAAGCCCCCGGCUCAACCGGGGAACAGCAUCUGAUACUGGCAGACUCGAGGAUGGUAGGGGUGAGUGGAACUCCAGGUGGAGCGGUGAAAUGCGCAGAUAUCAGGAGGAACACCGGUGGCGAAGGCGGGUCUCUGGGCCGAUACUGACGCUGAGGAGCGAAAGCGUGGGGAGCGAACAGG
rnacentral:rRNA from 1 species